UUGCAGCGGAAUCAUGCCCCUCGCUCUUCAUUUCUCCAUCCCUCCUUCCCUCUUCCACCCUCUCUCUCCUUCCCAUGCUCUCACUCUGACAUAUCAAAUAGGCUACACGCAAUUACGCCAUCUAUCAAACCUCCCAGAUGUUCUAAUCAACAGCGCCACACGGAACGCGCACAAGCACCAGACCCAGGAUUCGAACCAGCCACAACUCCUUAGCCGCUGGCCUACCAACCCACUUGACUGGUUCCAGAGAAGAACGAAAAAAGGAGGGAAAAAAUGCACCCAAAUGCACGCUUCCUGUCCAGGUCUGCCCUUUGUGCUGAGAGCACCGGGUUCUUUCUCUGUUUGGACUCCCUAACAUUGUGCCAAAGACACACCGGACGAGAACUACAGCAUAUUCAGUCUCUAUUGUCCUCAGACUCCGACAUGUAUUUGAUGUAUUAUGAUACGCCAUCUCUUAGCUAGUUUUUGUUCCACAACCCAGAGAGAUAGGCGUAGCCCAUAGAAUGAAAACAUAACCGUACACUGACGGGGUGGUUUGACCGUCAGUGCUGGUGCUCUUCGCAGCGUACAGGUGUGCUGUUCCGGUGUUUCACCUGCAGGUUGCAGCAUUGUUCCUGGAAACGGUCUCAAACCUGUCACCUGGACCAUGCAGACUGCGUUUUUCUGGUUGCGUUUACACAGCCAGCCCAAUUAUACCUUUUUAAUAAUCAGAGCAGCGCGGAAAAAUAUCUGAUGCGAAAAGAUCUGGUAUGAUUGGUCAAAAGACCAGUUAGUGGGUAAAAUAUCCGAAUUGGGCUGCCUGUGUAAACGCAUCUUCUGAGGCAUCAGGAUCGUACAAGUGUCACCUGUAACGUGAUUUUUGUUAGCCUACCAUAGGCCUAUGCAUCAAUGUGCAUGAUUGAGGAGGACGGACAGGUAGCCUAAUAUCUUAUGACGUCAAAAUAUGUGUCCACUUGCAUUGCAGGCCUAUUUGUAGAAACAUGUAAGGCCUAAAUAAGAAUGUUCUCCAUUAUUUUAGAUUUCCUUUGCAUUGAUUGCCUUUGCCUUCAACGCUGAAGAAGGGUUCAUACCCGAAACUCAUCCCAAUACAAAUAUGUCAAUUUAACUUAGUUUUUUUUUUUACCGGAGUGCUCUCCUAUUUCUGUUUCAUUUAUCAUUGGCCCACAAUACAAUAAUUUACUUAUCUUUCUCCAUUUAUAGCCUACUCCUUUGCAAUGUUUGUCUAGAUACAGCACUUCGUAGCGAUAGUCUACCACUUUUUUAAAAUAACGUUAGUAGUAAACAUUGUUAGGGGAACGCGAAGUUUAAACAUGACUUCGAGGUUUUGCUUCAGGACGGUGGGGAGCUCGAGACAUAGCCCAUGGACUGCACGGACCUAUGGAUACCCCCUAAGCUAAUAUCACAAGUGUAUUGUGAUAAUUAAUUCAUGCACUUGAAGUAGCCUACAUUGCUUAUCAAUAUUUUACAGAUUACAUAACUAACUUGUAAUUUAUUAUGAAACAUUGAAACAAAAACGGUUUUGGUCUGUAUAUCGUUAAGAAUAUGCAGGUCGGUGUCUUGGUUGUUGUUGUAAUUCAUCCCACAUUUUUUUUUUUAUAUUCAAAAGAUAUUGUAAGUCUAAUUCAGCAAAUCAGGAAAUUGAUGCAACGUGUGUCAUGUUUAAAAAUCAAAUAAAAAAUCCUGAACAUA